rnacentral:lncRNA from 1 species
UUUGGGUCAUAGCAUGUAGUUUUUAAAAAUAAUAUAAAUUUUUCAAUUUAAAUAAAGCAAUGCUAAAUAUUAAAAAAAUAUUAAAUUAUUAUAUUUUAAGCUAAAAACAUCUUUGAAAAUUACAUUCCACCCCAAUACAACGCACAUAACACAUCGGGAAGGUGAAGAUCCUAUUUUGGUAUUUUUCAAAAACAAAUUGUAAAAUCAGAAGCAAAUCAAAAUCAAUCAACCCGUUCGGACGCCAAACAUCUUACCAUUUUCAACACAGUAGCAAACACCACGUGUAUAACUGAGUUGCUCUCUGCUCAUUUUUCGAGUUCUGACAUGAACUACAGGUACACGGUGUCCUUGGUAUGGGUAGUCUCUCACGAGGAGUGUACAGUUGUAACCGGGGCCAAGAAGAUCUCUUAAAGUCUCUCAGGCUUCCUUUCAACACAGUAGCAAACACCACUUGU